UCUUCACAGGAGAAAUUUGAAAAUAUGCACAAUGCACCCACGGGCAUGGUAAUAAACAUUGUGCUUCUGGAAAGUACAGUAAAAAGAAGCCUGCACUGUGCCCAAAAGAAAGCGUAGGAGAGCAGAGACCUGGAAUGGAAAUGGACCUAUGGCCAGCAUUAGGUGGAAAAGACUGGUCUACUUCUGGAUACUUUCUGGUUGGAGUUUCCUGCUCUCACAAAAGGCAGUGUCGUUAGUGUUUGUUGGACCUGAAGGGAAAUAUUGAAAACUCACCAGUCUCCUCUCAGAAGCACUUAGGUAAGUAUUGUCAAUCCUACACACAGCUAGUAAAGAGGGGCAGG
rnacentral:lncRNA from 1 species